rnacentral:ncRNA from 1 species
UAAUUGAAGAGUUUGAUCAUGGCUCAGAUUGAACGCUGGCGGCAGGCCUAACACAUGCAAGUCGAACGGUAGCACAGGGGAGCUUGCUCCCCGGGUGACGAGUGGCGGACGGGUGAGUAAUGUCUGGGAAACUGCCCGAUGGAGGGGGAUAACUACUGGAAACGGUAGCUAAUACCGCAUAACGUCGCAAGACCAAAGUGGGGGACCUUCGGGCCUCACACCAUCGGAUGUGCCCAGGUGGGAUUAGCUGGUUGGUGAGGUAACGGCUCACCAAGGCGACGAUCCC